AUUGAACGCUGGCGGCAUGCCUUACACAUGCAAGUCGAACGGCAGCGCGGACUUCGGUCUGGCGGUGAGUGGCGAACGGGUGAGUAAUGCAUCGGAACGUACCUUUCGGUGGGGGAUAACGUAGCGAAAGUUACGCUAAUACCGCAUAUUCUGUGAGCAGGAAAGCAGGGGAUCGCAAGACCUCGCGCUGAUUGAGCGGCCGAUGUCCGAUUAGCUAGUUGGUGAGGUAAAGGCUCACCAAGGCGACGAACUGUAGCGGGUCUGAGAGGAUGAUCCGCCACACUGGGACUGAGACACGGCCCAGACUCCUACGGGAGGCAGCAGUGGGGAAUUUUGGACAAUGGGCGAAAGCCUGAUCCAGCCAUUCCGCGUGCAGGAUGAAGGCCCUCGGGUUGUAAACUGCUUUUGUACAGAACGAAAAGGUUUCUACUAAUACUAGGAGCUCAUGACGGUACUGUAAGAAUAAGCACCGGCUAACUACGUGCCAGCCGCCGCCGUAAGAC
rnacentral:rRNA from 1 species